CCCUAGCCCCGAUUGGAGCAUUUGUCUGAGCUCAUUUUCUGUUUUGGGCGGCGGCGAAGCCGCCGCCCAAAACAGAAAAUAGCGAGUGCGGAAAGCGGGAUCAAGC
rnacentral:misc_RNA from 1 species